CCCCUGGAGGUCCAGUGGGUAGGACUCUGUGUUUUCACUGUGGAGGGCACAGGUUCAAUCCCUGCUCAGGGAA
rnacentral:tRNA from 1 species